GUCAAGCUACAAAGGGCUUACGGUGGAUACCUAGGCAUACAGAGGCGAUGAAGGACGUAGUUACCGACGAAACGUCUCGGGGAGCUGGCAGCAGGCUUAGAUCCGAGAAUCUCCGAAUGGGGCAACCCUUAAUACUGCCACCUGAAUCUAUAGGGUGGCAAGAGCUAACCCAGCGAAUUGAAACAUCUUAGUAGCUGGAGGAAGAGAAAGCAAAAGCGAUUCCCCAAGUAGCGGCGAGCGAAACGGGAACAGCCUAAACCAGAGUGCAUGCACUCUGGGGUUGUGGGACAGCAACGUGGACUAGAGCGAUUAGACGAAGCAUCUGAAUAGUGCAUCAGAGAGGGUGAUAAUCCCGUAGUCAAAAAUCUAACUAGCCUAGCUGAAUCCCGAGUAGGCCGGAGCACGUGGAAUUCCGGUUGAAUCAGCGAGGACCAUCUCGUAAGGCUAAAUACUCCUGUAUGACCGAUAGUGAACCAGUACCGCGAGGGAAAGGUGAAAAGAACCCCGGAAGGGGAGUGAAAUAGAACAUGAAACCGUAAGCCUACAAGCAAUGGGAGACCGAUUUAACGGUUGACCGUGUGCCUGUUGAAGAAUGAG
rnacentral:rRNA from 1 species